rnacentral:rRNA from 1 species
AACGAACGCUGGCGGCAUGCCUAACACAUGCAAGUCGAACGAAGUCUUCGGACUUAGUGGCGCACGGGUGCGUAACGCGUGGGAAUCUGCCCUUGGGUACGGAAUCACUCAGAGAAAUUUGUGCUAAUACCGUAUAAUGUCUUCGGACCAAAGAUUUAUCGCCCAAGGAUGAGCCCGCGUAAGAUUAGCUAGUUGGUGGGGUAAAAGCCUACCAAGGCGACGAUCUUUAGCUGGUCUGAGAGGAUGAUCAGCCACGCUGGGACUGAGACACGGCCCAGACUCCUACGGGAGGCAGCAGUGGGGAAUAUUGGACGAUGGGCGAAAGCCUGAUCCAGCAAUGCCGCGUGAGUGAUGAAGGCCCUAGGGUUGUAAAGCUCUUUUACCAGGGAUGAUAAUGACGGUACCUGGAGAAUAAGCUCCGGCUAACUCCGUG